rnacentral:lncRNA from 1 species
AAAGUAAAUCAAAAUAAUAAGAUGAGUCUUGGAUGCGCUCCAUGUUCUCAAAAGCUGGCCUCGGUACCUGUCUACUCUCGACCUGAGAAUACAAGUUAUUUUGAAAGAGUUUAUCAGCAUUAAGCUGGUGAGUUCAUAAGUAUUUAGUGUCGGUGUUUGUUAUCAAAACGUUUGAACAUGCCUUAAGUGUAAGUUUGUAAAAUGUAUGUAAAUGUUUCUAAGUGUUUGUAAAAGUUUGAAUCUCUCAGAAAAACCUAUAUUUUCUAUUAAAGUAGCCUUCUACCAAGGCUUAACUGUUUUGUAUGUUCGUUUGUUGUAAAAGUGUGUAAUUUCCCAAGUGUAACUAUCAUUAACAAAAUAUAGUUUGUACAUUAAUGUUUAAGUGAAUUAAUCACUAAAUAUAUGUAAGGGGGUAAAUUAUUGUAGUACUGUAGUGUUGUAUUAUAGGAACUACUGCUGUACUAACUACCUUAAACCGGAUUUAUAUUAAGGUAUCAUGUGAUUAAUUGUACCAUACUAUCGACUGGAUAAACAACAACAAAUGUAGGUCGUAAAACAGAAUGACAUUUGGCACCCGCAGACCUACAGGUCCGGCUGUAGCUAGCAGCAAGGUGUAGGAUAGUCAAUCUAGUAUAGAUCUAUACGCAAACUCACGCUCUCCCUCCAAGAGACUCUGGCUACAACUCGGGCCAUGACAUUUAAGGCAUGCUCCGAUACAGUGGAUCACAAUUCUGUUAAUGUAUAUAUGUAUAUGUAAUGUAANUACCAUACUAUCGACUGGAUAAACAACAACAAAUGUAGGUCGUAAAACAGAAUGACAUUUGGCACCCGCAGACCU